rnacentral:rRNA from 1 species
AUUGAACGCUGGCGGCAUGCCUAACACAUGCAAGUCGAACGGCAGCACGGCAGUAGCAAUACUGUGGGUGGCGAGUGGCGGACGGGUGAGGAAUACGUCGGAAUCUGCCCAGUCGUGGGGGAUAACUAGCCGAAGGUUAGCUAAUACCGCAUACGACCGAGAGGUGAAAGCGGGGGACCGGCAAGGCCUCGCGCGAUUGGAUGAGCCGACGUCGGAUUAGCUAGUUGGAGGGGUAAAGGACCCACCAAGGCGACGAUCCGUAGCUGGUCUGAGAGGAUGAUCAGCCACACUGGAACUGAGACACGGUCCAGACUCCUACGGGAGGCAGCAGUGGGGAAUAUUGGACAAUGGGCGCAAGCCUGAUCCAGCAAUGCCGCGUGUGUGAAGAAGGCCUCGGUUGUAA